UCCCUGAUAGCUCAGUUGGUAAAGAAUCUGCCUACAAUGCAGGAGACACUGGUUCAAUUCCUGUGUUGGGAA
rnacentral:tRNA from 1 species